GUCGACGGCGGCCUCGGCGGUCAGGCCGGUGCGGACGGCCUCCUCCAGCGACCGGUUCCAGCCCCGGUCGUCGGCG
rnacentral:tRNA from 1 species